rnacentral:piRNA from 1 species
AAUGGGCUGAAGAGAGACUGGUUUA